GUGGAUUAGAUACCCGGGUAGUCCACGCCGUAAACGAUGAAUGCCAGCCGUUAGUGGGUUUACUCACUAGUGGCGCAGCUAACGCUUUAAGCAUUCCGCCUGGGGAGUACGGUCGCAAGAUUAAAACUCAAAGGAAUUGACGGGGGCCCGCACAAGCGGUGGAGCAUGUGGUUUAAUUCGACGCAACGCGCAGAACCUUACCAGCCCUUGACAUCCCGGUCGCGGACUCCAGAGACGGAGUUCUUCAGUUCGGCUGGACCGGAGACAGGUGCUGCACGGCCGUCGCCAACU
rnacentral:rRNA from 1 species